rnacentral:tRNA from 1 species
GCUCGCGUCGCCGAGCGGAAUCCGGCCGAUGACGUCUUCCGUCGUCGCGUUGGUCACAUCGGCGCGGUCGGCGCCGUUCGGCUCGGUCCACUUGCC